rnacentral:tRNA from 1 species
GUGCCGGUAGCCAAACGGUAAGGCAGCUUCCCCGCAAGGAGCGAUUCCCGGUUCGAAUCCGGGUCGGCACU